rnacentral:rRNA from 1 species
CCUACGGGUGGCUGCAGUCGAGAAUCAUUCACAAUGGGGGAAACCCUGAUGCUGCGACGCCGCGUGGGGGAAUGAAGGUCUUCGAAUUGUAAACCCCUGUCAUGUGGUAGCAAAUUAAAAAGAUAGUCCCACAAGAGCAAGAUACGUCUAACUCUGUGGCAGCAGCCACGGUAAUACAGAGGUCUCAAGCCUUGUUCGGACUCACUGGGCGUAACGGGUGCGUAGGCGGUUUCGUAAGUCGGGUGUGAAAGACGGGGGCUCAACCCCCGUACUGCACAUGAUACUGCGAGACUAGAGUAAGGGAGGGGGAAGCGGAAUUCUCGGUGUAGCAGUGAAAUGCGUAGAUAUCGAGAGGAACACUCGUGGCGAAGGCGGGUUCCUGGACAUUAACUGACGCUGAGGCACGAAGGCCAGGGGAGCGAAAGGGAUUAGAUACCCGGGUAGUC